rnacentral:rRNA from 1 species
CCUACGUGUGGCAGCAGUGAGGAAUAUUGGUCAAUGGGCGAGAGCCUGAACCAGCCAAGUAGCGUGAAGGAUGACUGCCCUACGGGUUGUAAACUUCUUUUAUAAAGGAAUAAAGUGUUGCACGGGUGCCUUUUUGUAUGUACUUUAUGAAUAAGGAUCGGCUAACUCCGUGCCAGCAGCCGCGGUAAUACGGAGGAUCCGAGCGUUAUCCGGAUUUAUUGGGUUUAAAGGGAGCGUAGAUGGGUUGUUAAGUCAGUUGUGAAAGUUUGCGGCUCAACCGUAAAAUUGCAAUUGAUACUGGCAGUCUUGAGUACAGUAGAGGUAGGCGGAAUUCGUGGUGUAGCGGUGAAAUGCUUAGAUAUCACGAAGAACUCCGAUUGCGAAGGCAGCUUACUAAACUGCCACUGACAUUGAUGCUCGAAAGUGUGGGUAUCAAACAGGAGUAGAUACCCGUGUAGUC